UGAGCGCAAUGUAGAAGUUUUUUUUUACAUAAGCGUUUCAAAUCUUAAAUUUUCAAUCUUAAAAAUUACAGCAUUUCAAGAUGUGUAAAGUUAAACUUCACUCAGAAUCACUUUUCAUUACUUACAGAUAUGAAAUAAAUAAUAUACAUUCUAUCUCUCCACAUACAACAAUGGUACAGUUGUCCGUCUUCCAAGUAUCAGCUCUUUUUUAUACGAUUAUUGUCUACAUUUCAUCUGAAAACACAUUAAUAAACACUAAGGACAAAUUAUGACGAAUUUCG